AUGAAUUUUGGGUUAAUUUUUUGGGUUUUUUUUUUAAACUCUAAAAAAUAAUUCACCUUUUGUGCACUGUUAUUAAGAUAUACUUUGGUUAGAGUUUUGACAUUAGUCAACUUCUUGCUAACUCUAUCCUUAUUGUAAGGACAGUUGGCUAUGAAGCGUGCCUACCAAGGUUUUUUAUCAAACUCUUUUUAUUUUGUCUGACCUAAAUAUCAAUAAUUAAAUCA
rnacentral:misc_RNA from 1 species